rnacentral:rRNA from 1 species
UACGUAGGGUGCAAGCGUUGUCCGGAAUUAUUGGGCGUAAAGAGCGUGUAGGCGGCCCGAUUAGUCCGCUGUGAAAGUCCAGGGCUCAACCCUGGAAUGCCGGUGGAUACUGUCGGGCUAGAGUCCGGAAGAGGCGAGUGGAAUUCCCGGUGUAGCGGUGAAAUGCGCAGAUAUCGGGAGGAACACCAAUGGCGAAGGCAGCUCGCUGGGACGGUACUGACGCUGAGACGCGAAAGCGUGGGGAGCAAACAGG